CUGAGCCCGGUGCCGCGACGAGUGGCACGCCGGGUUCUGAGGGGGGCCAGGCGCAGCAAUGCGCCUGGCCUACCCGAC
rnacentral:ncRNA from 1 species